rnacentral:tRNA from 1 species
GCCUGCGUGGUGUAGUGGUCAGCACGCUCGGCGGGUUUUCGAGAGGUCCGUGGUUCGAGUCCCGGCUAUGGCG